rnacentral:rRNA from 1 species
GAUGAACGCUGGCGGCGUGCCUAAUACAUGCAAGUCGAGCGAACGGACGAGAAGCUUGCUUCUCUGAUGUUAGCGGCGGACGGGUGAGUAACACGUGGAUAACCUACCUAUAAGACUGGGAUAACUACGGGAAACCGUAGCUAAUACCGGAUAAUAUUUUGCACCGCAUGGUUCAUAAGUGAAAGACGGUCUUGUCGUCGCUUAUGGAUGGAUCCGCGCUGCAUUAGCUUGUUGGUAGGGUAGCGGCUUUCCAAGGCUACGACGGGUAGCAGGACUGCGAGGGUGACCGGCCAGAUGGGGACGCAGAUAGGGCCCAGGAUCCGACGGGAGGGAGUAGUUGGGAAUAUUGCACCAUGGGCGGAAGCCUGAUGCAGAAACGCAGCGUGCGGGAUGAAGGCCUUCGGGUUGUAAACCGCUUUCGCCUGUGACGAAGCGUGAGUGACGGUAAUGGGUAAAGAAGCACCGGCUAACUACGUG